rnacentral:rRNA from 1 species
CCUACGGGAGGCAGCAGUGGGGAAUAUUGCACAAUGGGGGAAACCCUGAUGCAGCGACGCCGCGUGAGUGAAGAAGUAAUUCGUUAUGUAAAGCCCUAUCAGCAGGGAAGAAAAUGACGGUACCUGAGUAAGAAGCCCCGGCUAACUACGUGCCAGCAGCCGCGGUAAUACGUAGGGGGCAAGCGUUAUCCGGAUUUACUGGGCGUAAAGGGAGCGUAGACGGCAGUGCAAGUCCGGAGUGAAAGGCGGGGGCUCAACCCCCGGACUGCUCUGGAAACUGUACGGCUGGAGUGCAGGAGAGGUAAGUGGAAUUCCUGGUGUAGCGGUGAAAUGCGUAGAUAUUAGGAGGAACACCAGUGGCGAAGGCGGCUUGCUGGACUGUAACUGACGUUGAGGCUCGAAAGCGUGGGGAGCAAACAGGAUUAGAUACCCCAGUAGUC